rnacentral:misc_RNA from 1 species
UGGGCUUGACAUGCGGGGUAAAGCCGGUGAAAGCCGGCGCUCUACGGAGCCCGCACAGGCGGUGCAUGGCUGUCGUCAGCUCGUGCCGUGAGGUGUUGCCUUAAGUGGCGCAACGAGCGCAACCCCUGUCCUCAGUUGCCAGCGGGUAAAGCCGGGAACUCUGGGGAGACUGCCGGUGCCAAACCGGAGGAAGGUGGGGAUGACGUUCGUCUGAC